UCUCUCUCUCUCUCUCUCUGUGUAACGAGAAAUGGACGGUCUUAUCAAGGGUUUGAUGGACGUGGCUCUUGGCCACGACCAGAAAGAUGACGAAUCGAGCGCUGAGCCCCGAGAUGAACGAUCUAGAUCCAGCUGGGCGCAAGUGAGUGUACUUUCUGUUUAGCAUUCCUCCAUCCUUUUGAUCCGUCGCUAGACUUGUGUUGCUUGCUAAAAUGCGCAGGUGGUAUCCGGAGAGCAGGAUAACAGUGAUCAAGCGAGCAGUGAUCACUUGCAUGGUUAUCGUCCUACAAAUCAGUGGCGAAAACAGGUAUUUUGCUUUUUUUGAUUUCCUUCGUAUUGGAGUUUGUGGUUUGGAAUUGGAUCAGAUCGGAUUUUUUUUUGUUAAAUUUAAGGAAAAGAGCGAAGGAAUCAAUGAGGAGUGGAGACCUUCAAGGCGACCUCCAAUGGUUUGUAUAUAGUUUUUGCUUUUGAUGAUUCUUGUUUGAUCAUUGUCGUUUCAUCAUUUGAAUCUCUCAAUAGUAACUAGUUUAACGUCUUAUAAUUGGGUUCUUGGUGUUAUAGGCAAGAAUAAAAUUUGCCCUUUUUUCCCCUUCUUCUUUUGGUAAUGGUAAGAACAUUCAAUCUAUUGAAACAUUCAUGGGUUUAACUUUAAGCAUGGUAAGCUUAUGGUUGUAGAACAAAGAUUGUGCUCUGAGAAGUAAUGCUUGUGAUAACCUAUUUUUGAAAUGUAUACUGUGUUAAACAUUGGGAUCAUCGUGUUGUAUUCGGCAUAUCUUUUAAUUCUAUCUUUUGGAUAUUUCUGUAUUGCACUGAGCAGAAUUCAUUCUCUUCAAAAUCUCAAAUGUAGGAUGAUCAUGAAGGAUAUGGAAGAAAUGAAUGUGAUGAGCAACAUGAUUAUAAUCAAAAUCAAUGGGAUAGAAAGAAGGGAGGAGAAGAAAAUAAUGAUGGUUGGGAGACAGUUGUCAAAAAGCAUCCUAAGCGACCACACAAGAUUGAAAAGGAUCACUGGCAUGGAUACAAAAGACCUCCUAGUGAACAAGAAUACUCUGAUGAGGUUGAAAAUGAUGAAAAUUUAAUUCCUUCAGAAGAGGAGCUUGCUGACCUAUCGCAAGCUUGCAACAGGCUCUGGCAUCUUGACAUAAAUCGUUUGGUGCCUGGCAAGGACUAUCAGAUUGAUUGUGGUGAGGGGAAAAAGAUAUAUGAGAAGGAAGAUGUGGCACAAGGAAGCUUAUUUAGCUGGCUAAAGGAAGAUGUAUUAAGGAGGCGUACCUUUUCUCGUUUUUGUUCUCUGCUUGAUAACUACAACCCAAAUCAAGGGUGCAAAGAAGUUGUCACUGCUGAAGAGAAGCAAGAGCAAGCUGCUUUUAUAGAAGAAAUCAGCAGAACUGCACCCAUUAAAUACCUUCAUAAGCUUCUUGCAUUUAAAGGCAUUGUAUCUGAUGAUUAUCAUGAUUUUAAAAGAAUAUUGACAAGUCUCUGGUUUGAACUCUAUGGUCGAGGUGGUACUUAUGGUUCCUCUUCUGCUUUUGAACACGUUUUUGUUGGAGAAGUUAAGCAUCGUGGGGAACAAGAAGUUUCUGGUUUCCAUAACUGGCUUCAGUUUUAUCUAGAAGAAGCAAAAGGAAGGGUUGAUUAUCAAGGUUAUAUUUUCCCUCGGCGACGUGGGCAGAUUGUAAGUGUUCUUAUUAUCUCUUUAUGACAUUAGGGUGUUGAGAUACAGAGUAUAAUUGAAGUUGAACUUUGAAAGUAUGGAAACAAUUCUUCUUUCCACCUAUAGCUCCUCCAUUGUAUUUCUUUAUCCUAUGAGAAGUCAGUGCAUCUUGUUUUGUCAUUGAAUAAGCUUCACUCUUUUCUUCUUUUCAUUCCGCCUCUAUGGAAUUUAAUGUUCUUUAUUUGAUAAUUUUUACAUUUUCAGUUUUUGUUGGGAAAAAAAAUGCUAGUGUUCAUUUGAAAAGUUCAAAAUUAAGUUGAGCUUAAUUUGAAGAUAGAAGAUACAAACAGGACAUUAGACAGUGAAGCAGGCCGCAUCAUUUUCAACCCUAAAAUUUUAGCAUAGAAGGAACAUGGUCAAUAAGAGAGUCUGUCAAGUGCAAGUUUAGUUGUUUUUCGGGAAAGUUAAUAUUAGGUGAGUUUCACAAAACUGGUUAGUUCGUAAAAGUCCUUGCAACUCUUCUUUGAAACAGAGGAGAAUCAAUGUCCUAUUUGAAGAAUGGAUUCUAUAUUCUUAAUUUGAAAAAGAAAAAAGGUAAAAGGCCUUUCUGGAUGUGAGUAUUUGAGAUGUUACUUUGGCAAAUGGAUUCAUUUUAGACCAUGCGUUACUUAAUCAGGCUUGUACAGUCACAAAUAGUGAGGUAUUUAUCAAUCCGUUUCUUUCUCUGAAUUUUAAUGAUAAAUUAUAUAGUGUUCUCAAACAAAUAGAGCCUUAUAUUUUGUUUCUGAAGUUCAAUGCUAAGUCCAAAUUUAAUGAUCAGUGUCUUUUACAUGUUGAAUUGCCUUUACACCCUGAAUCUUACCUUAAUACCGUUUCUAUUUUGCAGCCGGACUCUGAUACCCAGUUACUUACAGCUCAGUUUGAAUGGAAUGGAGUUCUCAAAUCUGUAUCAAGCAUUUUAGUUGGUGUGAGCCCGGAGUUUGAAGUUGCAUUGUAUACUCUCUGUUUCUAUUUGGGUGGAGAGGAUAACCAUGUAGAAUUGGGUCCAUACCCUGUUAAUAUCAAGUGCUACCGCUUUGGAGAUCGGAUUGGAUCUGUAUUUCCUAUGGCAGAGUGUUGAAUGUAUGUGUUUAGUAAAGGUAUGAAAAAAAUAUUAUGAGU
rnacentral:misc_RNA from 1 species